rnacentral:misc_RNA from 1 species
UGGUUCUAGCAUNGAUGAAGAACGUAGCGAAAUGCGAUAAGUAAUGUGAAUUGCAGAAUUUUGUGAAUCAUCGAAUUUUUGAACGCACAUUGCACCUUUUGGUAUUCCGAAAGGUAUGCCUAUUCGAGCGUCAUUUUACCUAUCAAACUUUUAGUUUGGUUUUGGGUUAAAUCUGUCAAGAUUGACUUGAAAGGAAAUUGGUUCUUCAGUACAAUGAUCUGUACAAGAAAAACUAUUAACCACAAAUUUUUUAUGGUUGACCUCGAAUUAGGUAGGAUUACCCGCUGA